CCUGAACGCUGGCGGCGUGGUUAAGACAUGCAAGUCGCACGGGUGUAGCAAUACAUCAGUGGCGAACGGGUGAGUAAUGAAUCGCUAAUGUGCCCCGGACUCUGGGAUAGCUAGCCGAAAGGUUAGGUAAUACCAGAUGACAUAUCCCUACCGCAUGGUCGGGGAUCUCAAAGGUCCGCCGGUCUGGGAGCAGGCGAUUUCGUAUCAGCUAGUUGGGAGGUAACGGCUCACCAAGGCGACGACGCGUAGCCGGACUGAGAGGUUGGCCGGCCACAUCGGGACUGAGACACUGCCCGGACUCCGUACGGGGGGCUGCAGUAACGAAUCUUCCCAAUGCACGAAAGUGUGAGGGAGCGACGCCGCGUGUGGGA
rnacentral:rRNA from 1 species